GCGAGGGUGGCGGAAUUGGCAGACGCGCUAGCCUUAGGAGCUAGUGCCUUCGGGCGUGCGGGUUCGAGUCCCGCCCUUCGCA
rnacentral:tRNA from 2 species